CAAAUUUUCCAUUGCUGAGCCCAAUUACACACAGGACACAGAAACCAAUGUCCAGCCUGGAAGUCUCUGGAGUCUGCAGUCCCAGCUAUAUGUUCAGCCCUUUGUGAGGAGACAGAAUUGCAGUCCUGAAGAAGGAAAGAAGCCAACACUUCAGGCGCUCACAAGGAGGAAAAUUCGCAAGGAAGGGUGCCAUGCUCUUCCAUGACUGGGGAGCCCCUCUACAGCCUCCCAGGUGUGGCCUUACAUCUGAGGAGCUUCCUUCACUGGCAAUGGGGAACAAAUAAACAGAUGCAGAAGCUGUUUCCCCAACCUGUCCAGUUGAUUAAAGCGGAGGGCAGUGGAGCUCUGAAUCCAGAAAGUUCUGGGCUGAGGUCUGACUCUAGGUUAAGUUCCAC